rnacentral:rRNA from 1 species
GACGAACCCUGGCGGCGUGCUUAACACAUGCAAGUCGAACGGAAAGGCCCUGCUUUUGUGGGGUGCUCGAGUGGCGAACGGGUGAGUAACACGUGAGUAACCUGCCCCUGACUUUGGGAUAACUUCAGGAAACUGGGGCUAAUACCGGAUAGGAGCUCCUGCUGCAUGGUGGGGGUUGGAAAGUUUCGGCGGUUGGGGAUGGACUCGCGGCUUAUCAGCUUGUUGGUGGGGUAGUGGCUUACCAAGGCUUUGACGGGUAGCCGGCCUGAGAGGGUGACCGGCCACAUUGGGACUGAGAUACGGCCCAGACUCCUACGGGAGGCAGCAGUGGGGAAUAUUGCACAAUGGGCGGAAGCCUGAUGCAGCAACGCCGCGUGCGGGAUGACGGCCUUCGGGUUGUAAACCGCUUUCGCCUGUGACGAAGCGUGAGUGACGGUAAUGGGUAAAGAAGCACCGGCUAACUACGUG